rnacentral:misc_RNA from 1 species
GAUGAAGAACGUAGCGAAAUGCGAUAAGUAGUGUGAAUUGUAGAAUUCAGUGAAUCAUCGAAUCUUUGAACGCACAUUGCGCCCCUUGGUAUCCCGAGGGGCAUGCCUGUUCGAGCGUCAUUUCACCACUCAAGCCUGGCUUGGUGUUGGGCGACGUCCCCUUUGGGGACGCGCCUCGAAACGCUCGGCGGCGUGGCACCGGCUUUAAGCGUAGCAGAAUCUUUCGCUUUGGAAGUCGGGGCCCCGUCUGCCGGAAGACCUACUCGCAAGGUUGACCUCGGAUCAGGCAGGGAUACCCGCUGAACUUAAGCAUAUCAAUAAGCGGAGGA